CCUACGGGAGGCAGCAGUGGGGGAUAUUGCACAAUGGGGGGAACCCUGAUGCAGCGACGCCGCGUGGGUGAAGAAGCGCCUCGGCGCGUAAAGCCCUGUCAGCAGGGAAGAAAAUGACGGUACCUGAAGAAGAAGCCCCGGCUAACUACGUGCCAGCAGCCGCGGGAAUACGUAGGGGGCAAGCGUUAUCCGGAUUUACUGGGUGUAAAGGGGGCGCAGACGGCGGUGCAAGCCAGGAGUGAAAGCCCGGGGCCCAACCCCGGGACUGCUCUUGGAACUGCGUGGCUGGAGUGCAGGAGGGGCAGGCGGAAGUCCUGGUGUAGCGGUGAAAUGCGUAGAUAUCAGGAGGAACACCAGUGGCGAAGGCGGCCUGCUGGACUGCAACUGACGUUGAGGCCCGAAAGCGUGGGGAGCAAACAGGAUUAGAUACCCCAGUAGUC
rnacentral:rRNA from 1 species